rnacentral:rRNA from 1 species
UACGGGAGGCAGCAGUGGGGAAUAUUGCACAAUGGGCGCAAGCCUGAUGCAGCCAUGCCGCGUGUAUGAAAAAGGCCUUCGGGUUGUAAAGUACUUUCAGUCGUGAGGAAGGUGUUAAGGUUAAUAACCUUAGCAAUUGACGUUAGCGACAGAAGAAGCACCGGCUAACUCCGUGCCAGCAGCCGCGGUAAUACGGAGGGUGCGAGCGUUAAUCGGAAUUACUGGGCGUAAAAGGGCACGCAGGCGGUUAAUUAAGUUGGAUGUGAAAAUCCCCGGGCUUAACCUGGGAAUGGCAUUCAAGACUGGUUAGCUAGAGUCUUGUAGAGGGGGUAGAAUUCCAUGUGUAGCGGUGAAAAUGCGUAGAGAUGUGGAGGAAAUACCGGUGGCGAAAGGCGGCCCCUGGACAAAAGACUGACGCUCAUGUGCGAAAAGCGUGGGGAGCAAAACAGGGAUUAGAUACC